UGAGCAAUCUGCCCUUCUCAUCGGAAUAAGCGUUGGAAACGACGUCUAAUGCCGAAUACGACCUCCUUUCGCAUGAUCGGAGGUGGAAAGCUCCGGCGGAGAAGGAUGAGCUCGCGGCCUAUCAGCUAGUUGGUAUGAGUAAUGGCCCACCAAGGCGACGACGGGUAGCCGGCCUGAGAGGGUGACCGGCCACACUGGGACUGAGACACGGCCCAGACUCCGUAGGGAGG
rnacentral:rRNA from 1 species